UUUUUAUUAUAUUUCUCUUUUUGUUCUCGUGUCCAUCUCAUGUGUAGUUUUGUUUCAUGAAGCUUUAGAUUCAGUAACAUUUAAAAUUUGAGAAAUAUGUCAGUCCUGCGUUUCUUAAUUUUCACCACCAGAUGGUGCUCUAGAGUCUUUGUGGUGUGAAGCAGCACAAUGCGGAGGUGACGCCAUGUGUCCUCCCGCUGAGUCCAACAGGUGAGGACGUCUGUCUGUCCCACAGUCUAUGGUCUGUCCCCUGCUUCAGUGGACACGUUCUGGUGUUGACUCCCUGAAACACAGAGAAUGUUCCAGGCGCCUGAUUCUCCGCCUGCUCGACAGUCCAGGGGUCAGUGUGGGUCGUUAGGUGUCGACUCGUGUCAUGGACAGUUUUCGAGUUGAGCCGCCAUUUGUCGACUUCAGGGACGUGAGCGUCGGGUUUACAGGACCACACUGACGGAGCCACGAGGGAUAAAACUCCAGGAUCGCUCUGCUGUAUCUCUUACUAUCAGGGCUGAAGUGGUGGAUCAACGGCUCGAGGUCUCUGACCUGAAGGGGGAUUCACUCGCCUGUCUGCGCUUUGGGCCGGUAUAUUUUACUUAUAUGCACUUUCUGUGCAUUUAAAUAUUUUUUUCAGGCCCUAACAGCCCUCAUGUCCACACCUGCUUCCCUGGAGUACAGGGGAAAUAUAUCUACUGCCCCUCUAGAGUUUUCUCUUUGUACAAGGCACAGGGCAUGGUCAACAAGAUGACCUGGAGCCAGUUCCAAGCUUCCACAUUUUUUGAUGCUGAACAGAAUAGAUGGGCAGUGCAAAAAAAAUGAAUGACAGUUGUUUAUAUGUUUAUAUUUAUUUUAAAUGUCAACCCUGCACAAAGAAUAAAAAAUAUAAAAGCCAGAACACAUUUG